AACGGUCUUCAUCGACGUCUCUCUCGCUUGCUGCACCCUUUGUUGUUGUGAUGUCCUCCUUUUGUUCAGUAAUAAUUGGGGUAAUAAUCGCAAACUGAUAUUUUAUUGAAAUGGUUAAUACCUGUAGCAAUGUCUAUGUACUAGUUAAAUGGACGUUCUUCCGUUGAAACUCAACCUAGCCUAGGAUAGCCGCUAGGCCUAUUCUGUUGCCAUUUGGAAAAAAAGAAGAGUCCGCAACAUGCCAAAGUCUCUAGGCCUAUGCAGAGUCAGUAUUAUGAAAAGGACCAGCUCAUAGCCAUCACUCAGAUAAGCAAUGGGGCACGAGGCAAAUUCAAAAUUUGUUUGUUAUUGUUUCCGAUGCAUGAAGUGGUAGGGAAAUACAAGAUAGGGAAGAAAAGCAAGGCACAUGUGGAACAUCGGUAGAGAAAGAGCGUUUGGAUCCCAUCUGAAUUACUGCCAUAACAGAUUUCCUGAGGCUUAAACUACUCUUUUGAAGCAGUCUCUGCCAAACAGAAUAAAGAAAAUAAACAAGCCUAAAAAUUGGGAAUACCAUGUAUGCAUUUUUGUUUUUAAAUUUGUUAUUUAACUUUAAUUCCAAACUUCGUUUUAUUAGAUUUGUGUAGUAUUUUAUUAUAUUUGAUGUUUCAGUGUGUAGGCCGUCUUAAAGUUAGGUUCAGAAAAGUUGUUUU
rnacentral:lncRNA from 1 species